rnacentral:rRNA from 1 species
AUUGAACGCUGGCGGCAUGCCUUACACAUGCAAGUCGAACGGCAGCACGGGAGCAAUCCUGGUGGCGAGUGGCGAACGGGUGAGUAAUAUAUCGGAACGUGCCCAGUCGUGGGGGAUAACGCAGCGAAAGCUGUGCUAAUACCGCAUACGAUCUACGGAUGAAAGCGGGGGAUCGCAAGACCUCGCGCGAUUGGAGCGGCCGAUAUCAGAUUAGCUAGUUGGUGAGGUAAAGGCUCACCAAGGCGACGAUCUGUAGCUGGUCUGAGAGGACGACCAGCCACACUGGAACUGAGACACGGUCCAGACUCCUACGGGAGGCAGCAGUGGGGAAUUUUGGACAAUGGGCGAAAGCCUGAUCCAGCAAUGCCGCGUGCAGGAUGAAGGCCUUCGGGUUGUAAACUGCUUUUGUACGGAACGAAACGGUGAGCUCUAGUACAGUUUGCUAAUGACGGUACCGUAAGAAUAAGCACCGGCUAACUACGUGCCAGCAGCCGCAGUAA